rnacentral:rRNA from 1 species
UAACUUAGGGAGAAGGGGUGCCUACGAGAGUAGGCCGCAGUGAAUAGGCUCAAGCAACUGUUUAUCAAAAACACAGGUCUCUGCUAAAGCGUAAGCUGAUGUAUAGGGGCUGACGCCUGCCCGGUGCUGGAAGGUUAAGGGGAAUAGUUAGCGCAAGCGAAGCUAUGAACUUAAGCCCCAGUAAACGGCGGCCGUAACUAUAACGGUCCUAAGGUAGCGAAAUUCCUUGUCGGGUAAGUUCCGACCCGCACGAAUGGCGUAAUGAUUUGAGCACUGUCUCGGCAAUAAAUCCGGUGAAAUUGUAGUGCAAGUGAAGAUGCUUGCUACCCGCGGUUGGACGGAAAGACCCCGUAGAGCUUUACUGUAGCUUAGCAUUGAAUUUCGGUAUUGUCUGUACAGGAUAGGUGGGAGACUUAGAAGCGAGGGCGUCAGCUUUCGUGGAGUCGUCCUUGGGAUACCACCCUGACAGUACUGGAAUUCUAACUGGAGGCCAUGAAUCUGGUCACAGGACAUUGCUAGGUGGGCAGUUUGACUGGGGCGGUCGCCUCCUAAAAGGUAACGGAGGCGCCCAAAGGUUCCCUCAGCGCGGGCGGAAAUCGCGCGUAGAGUGCAAAGGCAGAAGGGAGCCUGACUGCGACACAUACAGGUGGAGCAGGGACGAAAGUCG